CCUACGGGGGGCAGCAGUGAGGAAUAUUGGUCAAUGGGCGGGAGCCUGAACCAGCCAAGUCGCGUGAGGGAAGACGGUCCUAUGGAUUGUAAACCUCUUUAGUCGGGGAGCAAUGCCGGGCACGCGUGCCCGGCGGGAGAGUACCCGCAGAAUAAGCCUCGGCUAACCCCGUGCCAGCAGCCGCGGUAAUACGGAGGAUGCGAGCGUUAUCCGGAUUUAUUGGGUUUAAGGGGUGCGUAGGCGGAGUUUUAAGUCAGCGGUAAAAUGUCCGGGCUCAACCCGGGCCGGCCGUUGAAACUGGGGAGCUUGAGUGGGCGAGAAGUAGGCGGAAUGCGUGGUGUAGCGGUGAAAUGCAUAGAUAUCACGCAGAACUCCGAUUGCGAAGGCAGCAUACCGGGGCCCGACUGACGCUGAGGCACGAAAGCGUGGGGAUCGAACAGGAUUAGAUACCCCUGUAGUC
rnacentral:rRNA from 1 species